GUGAUGCAGAGCAAAUCCCCAAAAGCAGUCUUAGUUCGGAUUGUAGGCUGCAACUCGCCUACAUGAAGUCGGAAUUGCUAGUAAUCGCGGAUCAGCAUGCCGCGGUGAAUACGUUCCCGGGCCUUGUACACACCGCCCGUCACACCAUGGGAGUCGGUAACACCCGAAGCCUGUAGUCUAACCGCAAGGAGGACGCAGUCGAAGGUGGGAUUGGCGACUGGGGUGAAGUCGUAACAAGGUAAC
rnacentral:rRNA from 1 species